UUUGGUUAAGUCCCGCAAGGAGCGCAACCCACAUCUUUAGUUUCCAGCAGGUUAAGCUGGGCACUCUAGAGAAACUUCCCGUGAUAAGCGGGACGAAGGUGUGGAUGAAUACAAGUCCUCAUGGCCCUUACGGGUUGGGCUACACACGUGCUACAAUGGCAGUGACAAUGGGUUAAUCCCAAAAAGCUGUUUCAGUUUGGAUUGGGGUUUGCAACUUGACCCCAUGAAGUUGGAAUCGCUAGUAAUCGCGUAACAGCAUGACGCGGUGAAUACGUUUCCCGGGCCUUGUACACACCGCCCGUCACACCAUGGGAGUUGGUUUUACCCGACGACGCUGCGGUAACCCUUUGGGGAGGCAGGCGGCCACGGUAGGAUCAGCGACUGGGGUGAAGUUGUAACAGAGUAGCCGUAAUCGAAUUUCCCGCGGCCGCGGAGGCGGCCGGGAGCUGCGACAR
rnacentral:rRNA from 1 species